UACGUAGGUGGCAAGCGUUGUCCGGAUUUAUUGGGUUUAAAGGGUGCGUAGGCGGCUUUGUAAGUCAGUGGUGAAAUAUGGCAGCUCAACUGUCAAGGUGCCAUUGAUACUGCGGAGCUUGAGUACAGAUGAGGUAGGCGGAAUUGACGGUGUAGCGGUGAAAUGCUUAGAUAUCGUCAAGAACACCUAUAGCGAAGGCAGCUUACUAGGCUGUAACUGACGCUGAGGCACGAAAGCGUGGGUAGCAAACAGG
rnacentral:rRNA from 1 species